UACGAAGGGGGCUAGCGUUGUUCGGAUUUACUGGGCGUAAAGCGCGUGUAGGCGGGCUUGCAAGUUGGGGGUGAAAGCCCGGAGCUCAACUCCGGAAUUGCCUUCAAGACUGCAAGCCUGGACCCAUGGAGAGGCAAGUGGAAUUGCGAGUGUAGAGGUGAAAUUCGUAGAGAUUCGCAGGAACACCAGUGGCGAAGGCGACUUGCUGGACAUGUGGUGACGCUGAGACGCGAAAGAGUGGGGUGCAAACAGG
rnacentral:rRNA from 1 species